rnacentral:rRNA from 1 species
AUUGAACGCUGGCGGCAGGCUUAACACAUGCAAGUCGAGCGGGGUGAUGGUGCUUGCACUAUCACUUAGCGGCGGACGGGUGAGUAAUGCUUAGGAAUCUGCCUAUUAGUGGGGGACAACAUCUCGAAAGGGAUGCUAAUACCGCAUACGUCCUACGGGAGAAAGCAGGGGAUCACUUGUGACCUUGCGCUAAUAGAUGAGCCUAAGUCGGAUUAGCUAGUUGGUGGGGUAAAGGCCUACCAAGGCGACGAUCUGUAGCGGGUCUGAGAGGAUGAUCCGCCACACUGGGACUGAGACACGGCCCCGACUCCUACGGGAGGAAGCGGUGGGGAAUAUUUGACAAUGGGGGGAACCCUGAUCCAGCCAGGCCGCGUGUGUGAAGAAGGCCUUAUGGUUGUAAAGCACUUUAAGCGAGGAGGAGGCUCUUUUGGUUAAUACCCAAGAUGAGUGGACGUUACUCGCAGAAUAAGCACCGGCUAACUCUGUGCCAGCCGCCGCCGUAA